AAAAUUGAGUACAGAAGAGGAGAACGGAAUUCCUGGAGGAGCGGUGAAAUGCGUAGAUUUCAGGGAGAACACCGAUGGCGAAGGCAGUUCUCUGGUCUGUAACUGACGCUGAGGUACGAAAGCGUGGGUAGCGAACGGGAUUAGAUACCCCGGUAGUCCACGCUGUAAACGAUGGACACUAGAUGUCGGGCAUAAGCUCGAUGUUGCAGCUAACGCGUUAAGUGUCCCGCCUGGGGAGUACGGUCGCAAGACUAAAACUCAAAGGAAUUGACGGGGGCCUACACAAGCGGUGGAGCAUGUGGUUUAAUUCGAUGCAACGCGAAGAACCUUACCUGGACUUGACAUUUCAAUGACCGCUAUGGAAACAUAGUUUUUCCGAUUUUAAUCGGAACAUUGAAACAGGUGCUGCAUGGCUGUCGUCAGCUCGUGUUGUGAGAUGUUGGGUUAAGUCCCGCAACGAGCGCAACCCUUACCCUUAGUUGCCAGCGAGUAAUGUCGGGGACUCUAGGGGAACUGCCC
rnacentral:rRNA from 1 species